rnacentral:rRNA from 1 species
GACGAACCGUGCGAACGUUGUUCGGAAUCACUGGGCAUAAAGGGCGCGUAGGCAGCUCCUCAAGUCAGGGGUGAAAUCCGGCAGCUUAACUGUCGAAGUGCCUUUGAUACUGGGGAGCUCGAGGGAGGUAGGGGUGUGUGGAACUUCCGGUGGAGCGGUGAAAUGCGUUGAUAUCGGAAGGAACGCCGGUGGCGAAAGCGGACCGCUGGCCCUCUUCUGACGCUGAGGCGCGAAAGCCAGGGGAGCGAACGGG